rnacentral:rRNA from 1 species
AUUGAACGCUGGCGGCAUGCCUAACACAUGCAAGUCGAGCGAGCGGCGGACGGGUGAGUAAUGUAUGGGGACUGCCCGCUAGAGGGGGAUAACUACUGGAAACGGUGGCUAAUACCGCAUACUAUCGGAUAACCCAUAUGGGAUUAGCUCGUAGGGGGGGUAAAGGCUCACCUAGGCGACGAUCUCUAGCUGGUCUGAGAGGAUGAUCAGUCACACGGGGACUGAGACACGGCCCAGACUCCGACGGAGGCAGCAGUGGGGAAUAUUGCACGAUGGGCGAAAGCCUGAUGCAGCCAUGCCGCGUGUAUGAAGAAGGCCUGAGGGUUGUAGAGUACUUGCAGCAGUGAGACGUUACCCGCAGAAGAAGCACCGGCUAACUCCGUGCCAGCAGCCGCGGUAAUAC